rnacentral:rRNA from 1 species
CUUAAGAUGAGCCCAUGGCCCAUCAGCUAGUUGGUAGGGUAAAGGCCUACCAAGGCUACGACGGGUCGCUGGUCUGAGAGGACGACCAGCCACACUGGCACUGAGAUACGGGCCAGACUCCUACGGGAGGCAGCAGUGAGGAAUAUUGCGCAAUGGGGGAAACCCUGACGCAGCAACGCCGCGUGUGGGAAGAAGGCUUUCGGGUCGUAAACCACUUUUGCACGGGACGAAAAAGGGAUAUCGAACAAAUAUCCCCGAUGACGGUACCGUGAGAAUAAGCCACGGCUAACUCUGUGCCAGCAGCCGCGGUAAGACAGAGGUGGCAAGCGUUGUUCGGAAUUACUGGGCGUAAAGAGUCUGUAGGUGGUUUGUCAAGUCUUUGGUGAAAGGCCGUAGCUUAAACUAUGGGAAUGCCAAAAGAGACUGGCAGGCUGGAGGC